GACAAGAUAAUUUUAAGAUGGGUACAAUAUCGCAAUAAAAGUGAUUGACACUACUUGAACAAAACAACGGUAUCCUAAAUGUGCAGUAAGUAUGCAUCAGUGAAUUUAUAAAUCCUGCACUGUAUACUGUGCAAACAAACUGAAGACAUCUUUUAUUGUUAAUAAGUAUUGGAUAAUUCAAUGGAUGGCAUAUUGCGACAUAUCUGUC